GGGGAAUUUUCCGCAAUGGGCGAAAGCCUGACGGAGCAAUACCGCGUGAGGGAGGAAGGCUCUUGGGUCGUAAACCUCUUUUCUCAGGGAAGAACACAAUGACGGUACCUGAGGAGUAAGCAUCGNNNNACUCCGUGCCAGCAGCCGCGGUNAUACGNNGGAUGCAAGCGUUAUCCGGAAUGAUUGGGCGUAAAGCNNNCGCAGGUGGCAAUGUAAGUCUGCUGUUAAAGAGUGAGGCUCAACCUCAUGAGAGCAGUGGAAACUACAUAGCUAGAGUACGUUCGGGGCAGAGGGAAUUCCUGGUGUAGCGGUGAAAUGCGUAGAGAUCAGGAAGAGCACCGGUGGCGAAGGCGCUCUGCUAGGCCGUAACUGACACUGAGGGACGAAAGCUAGGGGAGCGAAUGGGAUUAGAUACCCCAGUAGUC
rnacentral:rRNA from 1 species